rnacentral:rRNA from 1 species
AUUGAACGCUAGCGGGAUGCUUUACACAUGCAAGUCGAACGGCAGCGCGGACUUCGGUCUGGCGGCGAGUGGCGAACGGGUGAGUAAUGUAUCGGAACGUGCCCAGUAGCGGGGGAUAACUACGCGAAAGCGUAGCUAAUACCGCAUACGCCCUACGGGGGAAAGCAGGGGAUCGUAAGACCUUGCACUAUUGGAGCGGCCGAUAUCGGAUUAGCUAGUUGGUGAGGUAACGGCUCACCAAGGCGACGAUCCGUAGCUGGUUUGAGAGGACGACCAGCCAAAACGGAAACGGGGAAAGGGCCCGACUCCCACGGGAGGCAGCAGUGGGGAAUUUUGGAACAUGGGGGCAACCCUGAUCCAGCCAUCCCGCGUGUGCGAUGAAGGCCUUCGGGUUGUAAAGCACUUUUGGCAGGAAAGAAACGUCGCGGGCUAAUACCCCGUGGAACUGACGGUACCUGCAGAAUAAGCACCGGCUAACUACGUG